rnacentral:rRNA from 1 species
CAAUAGCGUAUAUUAAAGUUGUUGCAGUUAAAAAGCUCGUAGUUGGAUUUCUGGUGGGAGCGAUCGGUCUGGCGCUUAGCGCGAGUACUUGCACCGUCUCCGGCCAUCCUUGGGGAGAGUCUGUCUGGCAUUAAGUUGUCGGGCAGAGGAUCCUCAUCGUUUACUGUGAAAAAAUUAGAGUGUUCAAAGCAGGCUUAUGCCGUUGAAUAUAUUAGCAUGGAAUAAUAAGAUAGGACUUUGGUACUAUUUUGUUGGUUUGCGCACCAAAGUAAUGAUUAAUAGGGACAGUUGGGGGUACUCGUAUUCCGUUGUCAGAGGUGAAAUUCUUGGAUUUACGGAAGACGAACUACUGCGAAAGCAUUUACCAAGGAUGUUUUCAUUAA